rnacentral:lncRNA from 1 species
UGGCAAUCAGCUCACAAAGUGAGGUAGCCAUCUUUAAACAGCAGGAUCCAGAGUCCCAGAAAUCUUGACUCAGCCAGAUGGGAUGUCAGAGGAAGCUUCUGAAGAACUGGAGACCAGUUACAGCAAGCCGCUAUGGAACAUCUCUAGGCCAGAUUCGGUGUUAUCUUAAAGGACUGCGUGCAAUUCUACUUGGAGAUCUUCAUAACACCUUAAGGGAAAAAUCCUUUUUGAAAGAAAAACAAGUCUGGGUGGUGCUUGAAAAUUCAGAAGGCAGCUAGAAACUCUGCCAAUUACAAC